rnacentral:rRNA from 1 species
CAGCCGCCACGGGAAUACGGAGGGUGCAAGCGUUAAUCGGAAUUACUGGGCGUAAAGCGCACGCAGGCGGUCUGACAAGUCAGAUGUGAAAUCCCCGGGCUUAACCUGGGAACUGCAUUUGAAACUGUCAGGCUGGAGUCUUGUAGAGGGGGGUGGAAUUCCAGGUGUAGCGGUGAAAUGCGUAGAGAUCUGGAGGAAUACCGGUGGCGAAGGCGGCCCCCUGGACAAAGACUGACGCUCAGGUGCGAAAGCGUGGGGAGCAAACAGGAUUAGAUACCCCUGUAGUCCCUGUCUCUUAUAA